UGAAGCCGAACAUUAGCAAGUUGCUUAUAAACAAAACCAAUGCCAAUGUCAUAAACUAGCAAUCAAUAAACCACAACAACCAACUCUAAUCAGCCGAUCCAUCUCGUAUUACCAAUGCCAUAAACUAGCAAUCAAGAACAAGUGAAGCAAAUAAACAAAACCAGAAAAAUCGAUCAAAACAAAUAAUAGAACACCCAAAACUCACUUGUUAACUUCCAUCAAGUAAUAGC
rnacentral:misc_RNA from 1 species